rnacentral:lncRNA from 1 species
ACACAUGACAGUACAGUAGAUGACACGACACACAUGCAUACACACCUCGGGUGCAGAGGUGGACAGUAAUUAAGUAAUUGAUGAUGACCGGCGACGCGGCCGGCCGGGGAGGUUGAUCCACUUACAUCCCGAUGCACUUCUCUUUGAUGAUGUACUUGACGAAGCAGGCAGCGAACUUCGCCGGGCGGAAGUCGAAGCAUGCACUGAAGGUGUCCACCAGGCAUGCCUGGCAUAUCUCGGAGCACACACCUGUGAUCUCCAUCAGGCUGAGGUCCUCUCGGAGCUCCAUGGUGGCACCGGCGUGGCCGGCAGCGCCAGCUGCCCGAAGCAAAUGAUGCUUAGCACCAAGACGAGGGUGACAGUGGAGGCCAUUGUUGUUAGGAAGGGUGGAAGAACGAUAAGCAAAUCCGAUCUAAUAAUGUGUUGUGUUGUUUUCUG